rnacentral:rRNA from 1 species
CCUACGGGUGGCAGCAGUGAGGAAUAUUGGUCAAUGGACGAGAGCCUGAACCAGCCAAGUAGCGUGAAGGAUGACUGCCCUAUGGGUUGUAAACUUCUUUUAUAUGGGAAUAAAACACGGUACGUAUAUCAUAUUGCACGUAUCACUUGAAUCAGGAUCGGCUAAUUCCGCGUCAGCAGCCGCGGUAAUACGGAUGAUCCGAGCGUUAUCCGGAUUUAUUGGGUUUAAAGGGAGCGUAGAUGGAUGCUUAAGUCUGUUGUGAAAGGUUGCGGCUCAACCGUAGAAUUGCAGUUGAAACUGGGCGUCUAGAGUGCAGUAGAGGUAAGCGGAAUUCGUGGUGUAGCGGUGAAAUGCUUAGAUAUCACGAAGAACUCCGGUUGCGAAGGCAGCUCACUGGACUGCAACUGACGCUGAUGCUCGAAAGUGUGGGUAUCAAACAGGAUUAGAUACCCGUGUAGUC